CGGCUCAGGUUGUGGCCCCGG
rnacentral:misc_RNA from 1 species